GAUGAAGAACGCAGCGAAAUGCGAUACGUAAUGUGAAUUGCAGAUUUCAGUGAAUCAUCGAAUCUUUGAACGCACAUUGCGCCCGCUAGUAUUCUGGCGGGCAUGCCUGUUCGAGCGUCAUUUCAACCAUCAAGCCCUAGGCUUGCGUUGGAGCCCUGCGGCUGCCGCAGGCUCCCAAAUCCAGUGGCGGGCUCGUCGUCGUACCGAGUGCAGUAAACAUCCUCGCUCAGGGAACGUGACGGGUUCUUGCCGUGAAACCCCCCACAUAUCACGGUUGACCUCGGAUCAGGUAGGAAUACCCGCUGAACUUAAGCAUAUCAAUAAGCGGAGGA
rnacentral:misc_RNA from 1 species